AUCGCCCAGAAGAAAGGAAGGUUUAUCAUAAAGGAUAAAUACAUGCGUUCUUUUAAAAUAAAGAAUAUGAAUAGCUUCAGCCUGAAAGUUCACACAGUAUUGAAUGAUUCUCAACUUAUCAGGUCAUAUGAUAUAAGUUUUCGGAACUGGAAGUUGGAGAAAUUCGGCAUCCGAUCACAGUGAUCUUUCGUAUGACGAAACCUGGAAAGAAGGUCGACGGCUAGCUCUGGCUGAUCACCUACCACAGAAUAUGUUCGUUAAGAGUAAAUCCCCUGCGGAUACUGUCUGUGAACGGGAAUACGAACUUCAAAGCUUGAACCAGGAGGGCAUUUUGUCCAUACCAUAUCAUUGUAGCUGCAGUGCAUGUAACCUGCAUAUCAUACACGUUUAACAGUGUAGAAACGAGGGAAAACAUGGGACUGGUGAAUUUGUUAUCAAUUCAAAAGCUGUACAUGGAAUGAUACAUGCAGGAAUUUGUGCCACACAUUUCAACAAUUUCCUUAAUGGAUUGAAUGUACUUUUUGUGAAUUCAUCAGACAUACUUAAAGAAAAAGGAGAAUGAAACUGGAAAGAAAAUAUUUGCAGUUGCAAAAGAAUCCUGUAAAUAAAUUCAAAACUCAGCAAAAGAAGAAACAGUUUUAAACAUGGUUAAUUUAAUGAAUAAUUAGAAGGUCUCAUUGUCAUCAUUUAACAGCAGGUUAUUAGCAGCAGUUUUUCAGAAAAAUGAAGGAUAGCUGUCAAAGGUAAAUGCAGCAUCAGAAUAUUCCCCAGGAAAGUUUACUCAGAGAGUUUGGGAAAGUAUGAAUAAGAAAUUAGAGAGGGAAACAGAUAACCAGAAAACAAAGCUUUUAAAAGAAAAGAAUUGCCACUAUUAGUAAUAUGAUAUAUCUGACUGGGAGCAACAUGUACUAUUCAAUAUGGAAGGAUUGACAAUUUUGACUGAGAACAAAGUGAACUCUAAUAAUGCUAUGACUAUCAAUCAAUACUUGACUGAAUCAGAGGAGUAAACUAUUUACAUAUUUGUAAAU